rnacentral:misc_RNA from 1 species
UAGAGUUGUAGGCUUUGCCUGCUAUCUCUUACCCAUGUCUUUUAAGUACCUUCGUUUCCUCGGCGGGCUCGCCCGCCGAUUGGACAAUUUAAACCAUUUGCAGUUGCAAUCAGCGUCUGAAAAAACUUAAUAGUUACAACUUUCAACAACGGAUCUCUUGGUUCU